GGAAUAUUGGACAAUGGGGGCAACCCUGAUCCAGCAAUGCCGCGUGAGUGAUGAAGGCCUUCGGGUUGUAAAGCUCUUUUGCCAGGGACGAUGAUGACGGUACCUGCAGAAGAAGCCCCGGCCACCUACGUGCCAGCAGCCGCGGUAAUACGUAGGGGGCGAGCGUUGUCCGGAUUUAUUGGGCGUAAAGAGCUCGUAGGCGGUUCGGUAAGUCGGAUGUGAAAUCUCCACGCUCAACGUGGAGAGGCCAUUCGAUACUGCCGUGACUCGAGUCCGGUAGGGGAGUGUGGAAUUCCCGGUGUAGCGGUGAAAUGCGCAGAGAUCGGGAGGAACACCCGUAGCGAAGGCGGCACUCUGGGCCGGAACUGACGCUGAGGAGCGAAAGCGUGGGGAGCAAAC
rnacentral:rRNA from 1 species